GUACCCCAAACCGACACAGGUGGUCAGGUAGAGAAUACCAAGGCGCUUGAGAGAACUCGGGUGAAGGAACUAGGCAAAAUGGUGCCGUAACUUCGGGAGAAGGCACGCUGAUGGUAGGUGAAGCGACUUGCUCGUGGAGCUGAAAUCAGUCGAAGAUACCAGCUGGCUGCAACUGUUUAUUAAAAACACAGCACUGUGCAAACACGAAAGUGGACGUAUACGGUGUGACGCCUGCCCGGU
rnacentral:rRNA from 1 species